UACUGCACCGAGGCGUCCUGCAGCCAGCCCGCGUUACACCAGUCCAGGCCCUCCUCCCAGGCCCGGAAUAACUGCUCGAAGGAGGCCACCACCGCGUCCUGCUCCUCACACGCCCGCUGGGCCUCGCGGAAGUUGAGCAGCCCGUCAAUGACCUCACAGCGGUAACGCCCGUAGUCCUCCGGCCGCAAGUCCCCGAUCUGCAGCGACACUUCGCGCUCCCUGUCCUGCCGCAGACACACCCGGCCUCGGUAGUCUCCGAAGGAGCGGUGCCUCAGCCCGAUGGCCACCAGCACAUCCUGCUCCGGGGCCCCGUUCUCUGACAGCUUCCACCACUUGAUGCGCACGGGCCUCGGGGACAGCAGGGCCGGCUCGUAGUGGUAGUGGCACGGCAGGGUCACAUUGGCCCCUCGGUAGGAGAACAGGGUCUCCUCGGGCGUCUCUACCACCAGCCUCACCCCGUUGAAGACGCCUGCGGGAGAAGUGGGGUGCAGAUGGGGACCCGUGGGGCACACGUGCACCCCUGCAGCGGCCACCCCCAGCUCAUCCUCAGCUCCCGCCAGGCCCGGGAAUUAACACGUUGCAAGAACUGCCCUAAUGCCGCACCCGUCCCUGCAUCCACGCGUUCUGCAAUGGGACUCUGCGUCCCCUUCCCCUCGAACCCGUGCUGGCCUUGCCACUCGCUUUGACCAAAUGAACUUGGCAGAGGUGACUGUUCUGAGCCUGGGCUCCAGGAGGCCCCGCAGCUUUGGCUCCUUCUCGGAACCCUGCCAGCCUCCAUGAGAACGAGCCUGGGCUCACCUGCUGGAGAAGGAGAGCCCCACGUGGAGCAGAGACGAGCCCUCCCAGCUGAGGCCGUCCUAGGCCACGCAGCCCCCAGCCGACCUGUCCCCCGACUGCAGGCACAGUCUGUGAGGAAAUGGCGGCCAGCCCAAAAUGCUGACCCAUGGAAUAAGCAACAAAGCAAAACAGAAAAACCACCGCUGUUGUCUUAAGCCAUUACGUUUGUGCAUAAGAAGCUAGCUGAUGUAGUUAGGUGAUGAGAGCACCCCAUAUCAGGUGGCUGGUUGGGACUCAGAUCGCCCUGAGUGUCCUUCCCUACCACGCUGACCACGGAAGAGCACAGCUUGUCCUUCGCUGUCUGUCCACCUGUCAUCCAUGAUUCUUCCCCACAUACCUAGAAACACAGGUGAGAGGAGGCCAGGACUUCUACAGGAGACAAUACUCAGGGCUCACGGGUGCCAAUAAACACAGAGCCUAACAAACACCCCCCCUCCCCCAGAACCAGAUUUAUGCUGAGGCUGGCUCAUCUUUAGCUUGGGACCCAGUACAGAGGCCUAUCUCCUGAUCUUGGGCCUGGACUUAGACCCCUGGAGGGACACAGGGUGGGGGAGGGGGGUAGGCUUGGGGCAAGCAGGAGAUAAGAGGCUCCCUGCAGAGGACCUCAGGCUGCAAAAGCCAGAUGCUUUGGUGCAGUGGUUCCCAAAGCGGGGUCCCCGAGCCAGCAGCAGCAACAUUCCUGGGAACUUGUUAGAAAUGCAAACUCCUGGGCCCCAGCCCAGACCUCCUGAAUCAAAAACUCCGGCGGGGGCAGGGAAGGCCCAGUGAUCAGUGUUUUAACAGUUCUCCAAGUGACUUGGCUGGUCACUCAAGUUGGAGAACCCUGGGCAGGCAGUGGGCACGGAGGUUUGAGACCACAGGCCCGGAGGCAGCUAAGCCAGCCUUGCAUCUCGGCUCCAACUUUCCACAAAGCUAAUCUGAUCUAGUCUAGAGACGUCCACCGACUCUGCAAACCACUUUCCUUAUUUGUAGAACAGGGUAGUAAUAGUACCAACGGCGGGCCGAGGUGAGGCCCAAAUCAGGUGAGGUGGGAAACCUGGCACACAGAACGGGCCCAACAGACGUGAGUCAGGACUCCCAUUCCGUGGCUACAUCCUUUGUGUUCCCCAGUGCUCUUUGGUCAAGCUGUGUUUGAAGCUGUGACCCGAAGACCAUGAGAACAUUUGGCUGAAUCAUAACGCAUCCGUACGACUAAACACUACACGGCCAGGAACCAAAAACACACAAAAAACAAGAAACACUACACAGCCAGGUAAAAUAGCUUGGCAGCUGUAUAUCCACUCACUGACCUUGGGGGGAAGAGCUGUAUUCUACGAAGUGAUGGCAAGAUCCCCAAAUCACAUGUAUAGCAGGAGGUUGAAGACAGUUUUCUUAAUCUUAUGUAAAAGGCUGGAGGGAUACAUCUGAAAUGGCAGUAAUGGUUCCCUCAGGUGGGGGGAGCUCUUUGUGAUUUUGCUCACACGUAUUCAGAGACUGACGGGAAAUGGUGAGAUCACGGGUAGAAAGUUUCCGUUUGUAAGUUUCCUUGAAUCUCCUUAAGGUAGCGUUUGUACAAAAAAUAAGUUCUAGGGCAAAGGAGGGUGGGAGGUCAAGUCAUGGAUGCCCCAAGCCAUCCAUCACUGAUUCCUGGAACCUGUGAGGGUCACCUUCUACAGCAAAGUGGAGUCUACAGGUGGGACUAAGUUAAGGACUGCAGCCACAAGUAUCCGUUUAGAAGGAGGCCGAGGAGAUGGGAGGAUGGAACGGGAAGGCGAAGCGACCAUGGAGGCAGGGACGGGGUGACGCAGCUGUUAAGUCAAGGUCCAUCAGCAGCCACCAGACAGCGGGAGGGCCAGGGAACGGAUUCUCCCCAAGAGCCUGAGGGAGGCUCACAUCACGACCAGGGCCUGGGAAGUGUUUGUCCCCUCUGUCCUUCUGCAAACCAAUCUCAGCAUGGGUUCUUAAGACUGCGUGCCCUGGGAAGCUGGCUCAACUCUGUGAGCGUCAGUUAGCUCAUCUAUGAAAUGAAAUAAUCCACGGGAUCUGCUUUCGGGGCUCCAAGGGCAGCCGGCAUCAGCUUGGCCCGGUUGGUGCCUUCAUUACGCUGGUUAAGCUUGCCUAUAGGUCAGGUGUUUGUGAGGAUUAUGAGACCACGUAUGGAAGGCGCUAGAAGCAUGCCUGACACGUAGUAGGUGCACAACACAUGCUAACUAAA